AAAAUAAAAUCAAAAUAAAGGCUUUUGACUCCUUUGAAAAAAAAAUCUCACCUAUAAUAAAUAGUUGGGCAUUUUCAAAAGAAAUAAAAUAAAUCCUUUGAAGGAUUAAAAUUAAAACCCGUUUACAAAAGAAUAAAAAUCAAACCCCUUUGAAGAAUUAAAUAAAACCUCUUUAUUUAAAGAAUAAAAUAAAAGCCCUUUAAAAGAGAAAAGAAAAUGAGAGGGUUCUAAAAUAACACAAAAGGAGAAAUAAAAUAAAAACCCAAGGGUUGCCCCCAC
rnacentral:lncRNA from 1 species